rnacentral:rRNA from 1 species
AUUGAACGCUGGCGGCAGGCCUAACACAUGCAAGUCGAGAGGAGCGGCGGACGGGUGAGUAAUGCCUAGGAAUCUGCCUGGUCGUGGGGGAUAACGUCCGGAAACGGGCGCAAAUAACGCAUAAUAUCAGAUGAGCCUAGGUCGGAUUAGCUAGUUGGUGGGGUAAAGGCCUACCAAGGAGACGAUCCGUAACUGGUCUGAGCGGAUGAUCAGUCACACGGGAACUGUGACACGGUCCAGAGUCCUACGGGAGGCAGCGGUGGGGAAUAUAGGACAAUGGGCUAAAGCCUGAUCCAGCCAUGCCGCGUGUGUGAAGAAGGUCUUCGGAUUGUAAAGCACUUUAAGUUGGUAGGCGUUACCAACAGAAUAAGCACCGGCUAACUUCGUACCAGCAGGCGCGGUAAUAC